rnacentral:rRNA from 1 species
GACGAACGCUGGCGGCGCGCUUAACACAUGCAAGUCGAACGGAAAGGCCUGCUUUCCCUUGUGGAUUGCGGGUACUCGAGUGGCGAACGGGUGAGUAACACGUGAGUGAUCUGCCCCCAACUUGGGUAUAAGCCUGGGAAACUGGGUCUAAUUCCCGAUAGGACUGCAGGGUGGUGCCUGUGGUGGAAAACGAUUUUCUAGUGGUUGGGGAUGAGCUCGCGGCCUAUCAGCUUGUUGGUGGGGUAAUGGCCUACCAAGGCGGCGACGGGUAGCCGGCCUGAGAGGGUGGACGGCCACAUUGGGACUGAGAUACGGCCCAGACUCCUACGGGAGGCAGCAGUGGGGAAUAUUACACAAUGGGCGGAAGCCUGAUGCAGCGACGCCGCGUGGGGGAUGACGGCCUUCGGGUUGUAAACUCCUUCCGACCGCGAGGAAGCCACCUGGUUGGAAGGGUGGUGACGGUAGUGGUAGAAGAAGCACCGGCUAACUACGUG